CAGUCGUACUUAUGGGUAAUCAGCCUUGCUUCUUGCUUGGUGCAUUUCCUAGUCUACGGGCCAGCAUGAAUCUUGAGCGGUGGAAAAGGGUUUGGGGAAUGUGGCACCUCCGGGUGUGUUAUAGCCCCUUGCUGUAUACACUGGUUGGGAUUGAGGUUUCAGUGCACGCUUCGGUUGUGCUUUGAUGCUGGCGUAAUGGCUUAAGCGACCCGUCUUGAAACACGGACCAAGGAGUCUAACAUAUGUGCGAGUG
rnacentral:rRNA from 1 species